rnacentral:tRNA from 1 species
AUAAACUUAGGAUAAUCUAAACCAAGGGCCUUCAAAGUCCUAAAUAAGGGCUAGAUGCCCUUAGUUUUUG